UAUGUGAUCGUCUCUCGCAUAUCAAUAAGCGGAGGAAAAGAAACUAACAAGGAUUCCCCUAGUAACGGCGAGUGAAGCGGGAAGAGCUCAAAUUUGAAAUCUUAAAGGGUUUCCCUUUACGAAUUGUAGUUUAAAGAAGUGUUUUCUGUUGAGGUUUUGGUAAAAGUUCUUUGGAAUAGGACAUCAUAGAGGGUGAGAAUCCCGUAUUUGACCUUUACUUUCAACUUUGUGAUACACUUUCAAAGAGUCGGAUUGUUUGGGAAUGCAGUCCAAAAUGGGUGGUAAAUUUCAUCUAAAGCUAAAUAUUGGCGAGAGACCGAUAGCGAACAAGUACCGUGAGGGAAAGAUGAAAAGAACUCUGAAAAGAGAGUUAAACAGUACGUGAAAUUGUCAAAAGGGAAGCGUUUGACACCAGUGUUGUUUUUCUGAAAAUCAAUUAAAGAACUGUUUAUGCUAAGUUGUUUAGACUUUAUCAGCUAACUGUUUAGUUUUGAGCUUUUCUUUAAUGCACUUUUCAGUUAACAAGUCAACAUCAAUUUCUUUUGCUGUAAAAAAGCUUGAGGAAGGUGGCUUGAGAUUCGUCUUAAGUGUUUAUAGCCUCUUGCCUAUGCAGUCGGAGAGAUUGAGGUCUGCAGCGUAGAUCCUUCGGGGCUAAAUGCAUUUGUGCUAAGUUAUAACAUUUUAUAGACAACUUGUUGACUAUGAUUUGUCUUGUAGCUUACUCGCUUAUGUUAUUUUACCUACGCUUAGGAUGUUGAAGUCAUCGUAUCGCGC
rnacentral:rRNA from 1 species